rnacentral:rRNA from 1 species
AUCCUGGCUCAGGAUGAACGCUAGCUACAGGCUUAAACACAUGCAAGUCGAGGGGAAACGACAUCGAAAGCUUGCUUUUGAUGGGCGUCGACCGGCGCACGGGUGAGUAACGCGUAUCCAACCUGCCCAUCACUUGGGGAUAACCUUGCGAAAGUAAGACUAAUACCCAAUGACGUCUCUAGAAGACAUCUGAAAGAGAUUAAAGAUUUAUCGGUGAUGGAUGGGGAUGCGUCUGAUUAGCUUGUUGGCGGGGUAACGGCCCACCAAGGCGACGAUCAGUAGGGGUUCUGAGAGGAAGGUCCCCCACAUUGGAACUGAGACACGGUCCAAACUCCUACGGGAGGCAGCAGUGAGGAAUAUUGGUCAAUGGGCGAGAGCCUGAACCAGCCAAGUAGCGUGCAGGAUGACGGCCCUAUGGGUUGUAAACUGCUUUUAUAAGGGAAUAAAGUGAGAGUCGUGACUCUUUUUGCAUGUACCUUAUGAAUAAGGACCGGCUAAUUCCGUG